rnacentral:rRNA from 1 species
ACACCCGGUUACAUUCCGAACCCGGAAGUUAAGCUUCUCAGCGCCGAUGGUACUGCACUCGGGAGGGUGUGGGAGAGUAGGUCACCGCCGCAC